UACUGACGCUGAGGUACGAAAGCAUGGGGAGCAAACAGGAUUAGAUACCCUGGUAGUCCAUGCCGUAAACGAUGUCUACUAGCCGUUGGGGCCUUUGAGGCUUUAGUGGCGCAGCUAACGCGAUAAGUAGACCGCCUGGGGAGUACGGUCGCAAGACUAAAACUCAAAUGAAUUGACGGGGGCCCGCACAAGCGGUGGAGCAUGUGGUUUAAUUCGAUGCAACGCGAAGAACCUUACCUGGCCUUGACAUACUAGAAACUUUCCAGAGAUGGAUUGGUGCCUUCGGGAAUCUAGAUACAGGUGCUGCAUGGCUGUCGUCAGCUCGCGUCGUGAGAUGUUGGGUUAAGUCCCGCAACGAGCGCAACCCUUUUCCUUACUUGCCAGCAUUUCGGAUGGGAACUUUAAGGAUACUGCCAGUGACAAACUGGAGGAAGGCGGGGACGACGUCAAGUCAUCAUGGCCCUUACGGCCAGGGCUACACACGUGCUACAAUGGUCGGUACAAAGGGUUGCUACACAGCGAUGUGAUGCUAAUCUCAAAAAGCCGAUCGUAGUCCGGAUUAGAGUCUGCAACUCGACUCCAUGAAGUCGGAAUCGCUAGUAAUCGCGGAUCAGAAUGCCGCGGUGAAUACGUUCCCGGGCCUUGUACACACCGCCCGUCACACCAUGGGAGUUUGUUGCACCAGAAGUAGCUAGCCUAACUGCAAAGAGGGCGGUUACCACGGUGUGGCCGAUGACUGGGGUG
rnacentral:rRNA from 1 species